rnacentral:lncRNA from 1 species
AUGUAUGUUUUAUUGCAUAUUUUGCAGAUCACAGAUGAGGGAAAGAAAGCAGAACUCAGAAAUAACAUAGUUGGGAUAUUAAAAAACAGCCAAAUUCAACACAGCAAUAUUACAAAAGAAGAACAAUCAGCCAUGACAGCUUUAUCCAAAAAUGAACAGAUAAUUAUUCUACCGGCAGACAAAGGAAGAACCACAGUAGUUAUGGACAGAGAAAAAUAUAAACAACAGAUGAAACAGAUGCUAGAAGACAAAAAUACAUAUGAAAUACUUAAAAAAGAUCCAACAGAAAACAUUAAGAAAAACAUGAAAAAAUUACUGAAGCCACUGCACGAAAAAGGCAAAAUAACAGAAAAAAUGUACAAACACUGGAUUCCCACAGCAAACAUAACACCAAGAAUAUAUGGAACACCAAAAAUACAUAAACAAAACACCCCACUUAGACCAAUAGUUGACAGCAUAGGUACACCAACAUACAACAUGGCAAAAGAUAUCAGCAGAAUCAUCAGCCCGUUAUUAGGAAAUACAGACCAACACUGCAAAAAUAGUAUAGAAUUGGCAAAAGAACUAAAGGAAAUUACAAUAGAAGACAACGACAUACUCAUCUCACAUGACGUCACAUCUCUGUUCACAAAAACACCAACCCAAAAAACCAUAGACAUAGUAGUUAACAGAAUCAGACAAGACAAAACUUUACAUAAAAGGACAAACCUCACAGCAGAUGACAUAGCACAACUGAUAGGACUGGUAGCUAACUCCACUUACUUCACAUACGACAACACAAUAUACAAACAACUGGAAGGCUUCGCCAUGGGUAACCCGUUAUCAGCCACCCUGUGCGAGUUUUUCAUGGAAGACCUGGAACAAAAAGCCAUAGCCACCGCCCCCCCAAACUGCAAAAUAAAACUAUGGAAACGCUACGUAGACGACAUACUGGAAAUCAUACCAAAAGAACUAAAGGAAAUUACAAUAGAAGACAACGACAUACUCAUCUCACAUGACGUCACAUCUCUGUUCACAAAAACACCAACCCAAAAAACCAUAGACAUAGUAGUUAACAGAAUCAGACAAGACAAAACUUUACAUAAAAGGACAAACCUCACAGCAGAUGACAUAGCACAACUGAUAGGACUGGUAGCUAACUCCACUUACUUCACAUACGACAACACAAUAUACAAACAACUGGAAGGCUUCGCCAUGGGUAACCCGUUAUCAGCCACCCUGUGCGAGUUUUUCAUGGAAGACCUGGAACAAAAAGCCAUAGCCACCGCCCCCCCAAACUGCAAAAUAAAACUAUGGAAACGCUACGUAGACGACAUACUGGAAAUCAUACCAAAAGGUCAAACAGAAACACUAACACAACACUUAAACAAUAUUGACGACACGGGCAACAUAAAAUUCACUUAUGAGUUAGAAACAGAAGGCAGCAUAGCAUUUAUGGACAUGAAAAUCACCAGGCAGACCGACGGGACCCUAAACAUAAACACAUACAGGAAACCAACACACACAGACCAAUAUCUAUUAUGGACAUCAGAACACCCCACCAUACACAAAAUGUCAGUAAUCAGAACAUUAUAUCACCGAGCAAACAUAAUAACAGAAGAGAGAGACCGUAAACAAGAGGACAAACACAUACAACACGCUUUAAAGACCUGCAGAUACCCGACAUGGGCAAUAAACAAAGGAAAACAACAAACAAAAACAGAAAGCAAAGAACAACCCAAAAAAAGAACCAGAAACCCAGAAAGACAAGAACCAAAACCAGUGAUAACCCUACCAUACAUCAGAGGCAUAACGGAAAAAAUAAGAGCAACAAUGAAAAAACACAACAUAAACACACCAACAAAGCCAUACACAACAGUUAGAAACAGACUAGUACACCCAAAAGACAAAAUAUCAGCUGGACAAAAAUGUGGAGUCAUCUACGAAAUCCCAUGCAAAAUAUGCAAUAAAACAUACAUAGGAGAAACCGGACGCCAACUCAAUACACGGACAAUAGAACACAGAAAGGAGUGCGAGAAAGAGGCAAAUCGUAAACACACAAGAGCAGCAAAAGAAGAAGCAGAAAGUACAAUAAAAAAGUCAGCCGUAACAGAUCAUUGCUUAAGAGAAAACCAUAUAAUGGACUGGGACAGCACACGGAUCAUAACCACCGAACAACAAAAAUACAAAAGAUGGAUCAAGGAAGCAAUAGAGAUAAGGAGACGUGGAUGUGGGACCAUGAACAGGGACGACGGAGUUUACACGCUGGACCACGCAUGGGACUGCAUCGUCGGAGAGGGGAGAGCGGGCAGUAGAGGGCGACAACGUCCUCUGCUGCCCGCAGAUAAACGGAGAAGGAAGUGACGCGCCACCAUCAGCGUCAGCCUGAAGAAGCCGGCAGCUGUCGGCGAAACCGUAGCUACAAACAGGUAAACAAAACUGUUUCUGUGUUUAAAAAAGAACGAAAGCAUGGAUUUUCAAAGACACAGCAAGAACACACCUAAAAUGUCGUCAUCGUCACAGAGCUGAUCUGUGAUGAUGUGACCCAAAUAUUUUGCUUUGUCACUGACACAUUUCUUCUUGUCGACCAAGUAGAGGUCUGUUAACUAAAGAUCUUUAUCCCCUUUGGUUCGACAAAUUAGCACAACACUCUUUUUUGCAUUAAACUGUGCAUCGUACUUCAGCCCAUAUUCAGAGCAUGUGUUUAGCAGCUGAUGAAAACCAGCACUGCUGGGUGAAAUGAUGGCCAUGUCAUCAGCAUACAUGCGAUGAUUAAUCAGAUUGAGACAUAAAUGCAAUAAAAAUAAACUACUCAGAGUUAACCCCUGUUCAUAUUUUUUCAAAUACAAACUUUUUAAGUCAUGUUAAUCUAUCUUUUAAUCUAAGGUAAUUGAAUUUUAUUUAAAAUUUCAUUCAAACAUUUCUUUAGAUUGUUUUUAAGAUUUUUCUGUGCAUUCUUAAAUACUUAGGUAUUAAAAUAGUGGUCCAGAAUCUAUAUUUAAAAUAGAGAGCUGUGUGUGCUCUGUCUUCUCGAUCCCCAGUGAGUCGUGGAGGAUGGCUGCUUAUACUGAGCCAGGAUCCUCUGGAGGUUUUUUCCUGUUAAAAGGGAGUUUUCCUCUCCACUGUUGCUACAUGCUUGCUUAGUAUGAGGAUUGCUUUAAGUACACUGACACCAGUCAGUGACUCAAUGCAGUUUGCUGGGUUCCUUAUAUAGGAAACGUUUUACUCAUUGGCUUAAUGAACUGACCUGCAUUGUAACGUUAACUUUGUUCAGUGCCUUGAGAUGACUCUUGUCGUGAUACUGCGCUACGUAAACAAACUGAACUGUGUAGCGUAGGCAAAUCGCUGAUUUUUAUUUGUUAUGACCAAGAAGAUGUAACAUUCUAUGUAAAUAUAAAACAUUAACCAGCUAGGUCUUUAUUGUAAUAAUCAAAAGAUUCUAGGAUUUAAUUCAGAAGAUCUAGGUUCUUUGCUUUUUCAGUGAUCAACCACACUUUGUGUUACUUCAAGAAAGAGUCAGGUUUAUAAAAGUAAGAAUUUAUUUUGCAAACAGUUGAAACAUGACAAAUUAACUAAGCAUUUACUGUGAGUGGAUGUAACUAAACAUGAUGAAGGAACCUAUGUGUGAAUGUGAUGUCAGUCAGAACUUCCUUAUCAAAGUAAGCUGAGCUCUGGUGAAAAGAAUUUGGUUUGCUCUAAGCUAUAAAGUUCUUAUCAUCAGAAGAACAUCAGACGCGAUCUGUCAUGUCUACUUCACCCGUUUCAUAGAGACCCUGUUGGUGGAUCCAAAAGUCGCAGGGGUCAGCUGACCUCUGGCACCGGAGGGCUGUAGAAUACCGUGGUACCAACUCUUCAGUCCAGAGUUGUCUUGGGUCACAACAGCUGGAUGGAACCGUGCGUCUGGCGGACUCUUAAGGAGUCUAACAAUUGGGUCAUUCCCAUCUGUACCGGGCCGGGUAGCGUAGGUUGUUUACAUAUCUGGGUGGCCUGGUAUUUUUCCAGGCCAACCAAGGCUCAUUCUCAGCCCUCUUCUUGAGGGGGUCUGCUUCAGGCCGACCAGGGCCAACACACCCACUGCUGACAGCAAAUUCACACCUUCCAUUAGAGCAAGCCUCUGAUUGGUGGGUAGAAUCAGCCCACAUGGGCUUAAGACAAGGAUGUGUGGAAUCAACCGGGCCAGGCUGGGGCCGACUGGGGCUACCCGGCCCGGGCCGACCCGGUACAGAUGGGAAUGGCCCAU